UGUGUAAAAGCAACAAACGUGCGCCUAACUGUUAAUUAGGAGAAAUUGAGGUCUCUCAAUUAUACGA
rnacentral:tRNA from 1 species